GACGAACGCUGGCGGCGUGCCUAAUACAUGCCAGUUGAGCGCUGAAGGUUGGUACUUGUACCAACUGGAUGAGCAGCGAACGGGUGAGUAACGCGUGGGGAAUCUGCCUUUGAGCGGGGGACAACAUUUGGAAACGAAUGCUAAUACCGCAUAAAAACUUUAAACACAAGUUUUAAGUUUGAAAGAUGCAAUUGCCUCACUCAAAGAUGAUCCCGCGUUGUAUUAGCUAGUUGGUGAGGUAAAGGCUCACCAAGGCGAUGAUACAUAGCCGACCUGAGAGGGUGAUCGGCCACAUUGGGACUGAGACACGGCCCAAACUCCUACGGGAGGCAGCAGUAGGGAAUCUUCGGCAAUGGACGAAAGUCUGACCGAGCAACGCCGCGUGAGUGAAGAAGGGUGUCGGAUCGUAAAACUCUGUUGGUAGAGAAGAACGUUGGUGAGAGUGGAAAGCUCAUCAAGUGACGGUAACUACACAGAAAGGGACGGCUAACUACGUG
rnacentral:rRNA from 1 species